rnacentral:rRNA from 1 species
GACGAACGCUGGCGGCGCGCCUAACACAUGCAAGUCGAACGGAGCUGCGAGAAGCUUGCUUUUCUUAGCUUAGUGGCGCACGGGUGAGUAACGCGUGAGUAACCUGCCCUGGCGUGGGGGACAACAGUUGGAAACGACUGCUAAUACCGCAUAAGCCCACGAUCCGGCAUCGGAUUGAGGGAAAAGGAUUUAUUCGCUUCAGGAUGGACUCGCGUCCAAUUAGCUAGUUGGUGAGGUAACGGCCCACCAAGGCGACGAUUGGUAGCCGGACUGAGAGGUUGAACGGCCACAUUGGGACUGAGACACGGCCCAGACUCCUACGGGAGGCAGCAGUGGGGGAUAUUGCACAAUGGGGGAAACCCUGAUGCAGCGACGCCGCGUGGAGGAAGAAGGUUUUCGGAUUGUAAACUCCUGUCGUUAGGGACGAUAAUGACGGUACCUAACAAGAAAGCACCGGCUAACUACGUG